rnacentral:rRNA from 1 species
UACGUAGGUGGCGAGCGUUGUCCGGAAUCAUUGGGCGUAAAGAGCGCGUAGGUGGCUUGUCAGGUCUGAUGUGAAAUCCUGGGGCUCAACUCCAGAACUGCAUCGGAAACCGGCUUGCUAGAGUCUGGGAGAGGAGAGUGGAAUUCCUGGUGUAGCGGUGAAAUGCGUAGAUAUCAGGAGGAACACCGGUAGCGAAGGCGGCUCUCUGGAACAGUACUGACACUGAGGCGCGAAAGCUAGGGGAGCGAAC